GACUCACUCAACCUGGGUGUGAUGCUUGCCUGUACACCAGGCCCUAGUGGUCAUCACAACCUUUUUGAGUGAGCGA
rnacentral:pre_miRNA from 1 species